rnacentral:rRNA from 1 species
UCGAGAAUCUUCGGCAAUGGGCGAAAGCCUGACCGAGCGACGCCGCGUGCGGGAUGAAGGCCUUCGGGUUGUAAACCGCUGUCAGUGGGGAACAAAUCUCUAGAGGUUAUCCUCUAGAGUUGAGUGAACCGCAGAGGAAGUACGGGCUAAGUUCGUGCCAGCAGCCGCGGUAAGACGAACCGUACGAACGUUAUUCGGAAUCACUGGGCUUAAAGAGUUCGUAGGCGGCCGUGUAGGUGAGAUGUGAAAUCCCUCGUCUCAACCGAGGAAUUGCGUUUCAAACCACAUGGCUUGAGGAAGAUAGGGGUGAGCGGAACUGAUGGUGGAGCGGUGAAAUGCGUUGAUAUCAUCAGGAACACCAGAGGCGAAGGCGGCUCACUGGGUCUUUUCUGACGCUGAG